CGCGCCAAACGUCCCUCCCUUUUAUCCCCGAAUCACUCCCCCUUUUUAUUUUUAUUUUGGCUUUCAUCUUUACCAAUUCGUUCAACCCUUCGGCUCGUGCUUUUGAGUUACAAGGUUCAAAUGAGCGACAACCUUAUCUUUUAGUAGUGCGGCUAUGGCUUAAAAUUGUUCUAAACAAAGAUAGUGUGAUUCAUUCACAUUAGUACUUAUAGCUCCAUUCCAAUUCUAAUCAAUGGUCUCAUGUCUUAUUCGAUGUAGAUUUUGGCAUAUGCUUUGGCUAUAUUUUUUGGGUUGUAAUGCUCCUAAAGAAUAGGCUAUUUCUGGCUUUGCGGAUGCAAGUCUCUCUUUGAUUGUGUUACUUUGAUUCCCACAUCUCACUGUAAGUUAGUUUCUGCUUUGUCUAUAUUCGUUUCUUUAGCAUCUAUAUAUGUUUGAAAAUUGACUUAAUAUAUUUCAAUCGUACUGAUUUUAUCCUCACUAGUGAUGGAAACGCAGAGUGAAAAUAUUUACACUUAGUGAUGUGAGUAUUACUAUCGUUCAUCUUGAGGAAGAUGUUGUAUCUGUAUCUCUGGUUUCAAUAGACAUUUCGGGUUCUAAGUGAUUGGAUAUUUUGUGAGAUUAGGUGUUAUUUGUUCUCUAAAAAAAUUCGGUAAAAUCUAAUAAUUAUUGUGGUUUUAACUAGAAGCUUAAGAGAAUUAGUUGCCUUGUUAAAAUUAAAACUAUAGUGACCUUUCUGUUCCUUAGUUUAUUGAUAAAUCUUAGUGUCUUGCACUAAAGAAGUUUGAGGUUCAAGAAGUAAAUCAUUUUUAGAGAAAAACAAUUGUAUUAUAAAGCUAGCACUAAGGAAGUGAUGUAGUAUUUUUUUUGGUCAAAGUGCUAUAGUAAUUACAAGUGAGUAAAACACUAGAAGAAAAAACUCUUUCCAAUAUUACAGGGAUUUCAAGAAUAAAUUAUAAAUUUUUGUGUCGUGCAUCCGUAAAGCCUUAUUUGUACUACCAAUUAUCAUUCAUUCACUACUUUUUUAUAAGCUGCUAGUGCCGAUUAGUAGUUCCACUUGUAUAUUUGUGUAUAAUUGCUCUUGAAUUAUCUGUACUACUAAUUAUAUUUGCCUCCUUUUUUCCGUGGAUAGCGCAAGUGCGGAGAGAAAAACUCUUGCUAAUGCAGUGAAACGUGAGUUGUAGAAAAAUAGGAUGGACAUGCUUAAAUCCUCAUUGCUGGAAAUAUGGUUCAUGCAGUACAACAAGUUGUUGGAAGAAGAUUUAUUUUUGGAAUUAUUAGAUUAGAAUUUAAUAACCUUGGUAUAUGAUGCUUUUGUUCUUUUUGCAAGUAAAAGCAUACAUUUUAGAAGAUUUAGUUAUAGUGAGUACAUACUUGUGUAUCAAUUUUAUGUAUUGACAUUUAUAUACAUAUAAAAUUUAUUAUUUUAUAUAUACAUUUGUGAAA